UGUCGUAACAAGGUUUCCGUAGGUGAACCUGCGGAAGGAUCAUUAUCGGUUGGUCUGACUUCGCGUUGGAUAAACUGGUUAAAACCUCGGGACUCGGCCGGCUAACGCUGGCCUGUUCUAGUGGCUGGGGCCUGCCUGCCCUUGCCUGCCACGUCUUGUGCUGGGUGACUGAUAGUUUGUCGGUCGCCUUUGCCUUGACGGCCCGAUGCGGAGGUACUGUAGCCCGUCGAUCCGGAAUGAGAAUUCCAGGAGGGCAUAGCCUCGGUGAACAGUUCAAAGAGCUCUCGCCUUCCGUCGGGUUUUCGAUCUCCCCCUUGUAGGGAUGUGCAGCUGUUAUUUGAUUGAGUUUUACGACUCGCUCGAACUCUACGUUUGAGAAUCCAAAUACAACACUAUACAGUGGAUCAUUUGGCUCGGGGGUCGAUGAAGAACGGAGCUAACUCUGUGAUGCCGUGUGAACUGCAGGACACAUGAACAUCGACACUUUGAACGCAUAUUGCGGAAAUAAGCUUGUCUUGUUUCCAUAUCUGACUCAGGGUCGGUUAAACAUCCAUCGGACGGCUUGCUGUUCGCAUUGGGCGGUCGUUAUGCCUCGGCACAGCGUCGCUCCAAGGUACGCCGUACGGAGUUCACAGACUCGACUCUUGGGAACUUGUGUCCUGGGUCGUGGAAGUGGCCGUAUGCGCUUGGUGCCGGGACUCGACUGACUGUCUCGUAAGCGCCUACAAACUUUACUUUCGACCUGAGAUUAGAUAAGAUUACCCGCCGAAUUUAAGCAUAUUAAUAAGCGGAGGAAAAGAAAACAACUGUGAUAGCCUUAGUAAUGGCGAAUGAAACGGCUACAGGGCAUCGCGGAACCGCAGGUCAUCUUGGCCUCGUGGAAUGUCGCGUUCGGGAGAGUCUUCUCGAGGAGCGGUCUGCCAGUCAAAGUCCAACUUGACAGUGGCCACUGCCCGUAGAGGGUGAUAGGCCCGUAAGGCGGCGGACCCUUCUCGCUGACUUUUUCCCUAGAGUCGGGUUGCUUGGGAGUGCAGCCCAAAGUGCGAGGUAAACUCCUCGUAACCCUAAAUAUGACCCCGAGACCGAUAGCAAACAAGUACGGUGACGGAAGAUUGAAAAGAACUUUGAAGAGAGAGUUCAAUAGUACGUGAAACUGUGUGGUGGUAAACGGAGGGGUUCUCGAAGUUUCUGUGGGGAACUCAGCCUUGGUGUCGCGUGGCUCUGUAGUAUCCGAUCAGCAAUGACGGUGCUGCUUGGCCGACGUGUCUCUCGGGUGCAUUUCCCCCGCAGUUUACGGCAGGAACUGUUCGGAGCGCACCGAAGGCCUCGGGUGAAGUUGUCGGUUCUGCUGGCAGCCCCGGGUGUCCUGGCUUCGCACCGGACAGGUACGUGAGAGGACUCGUAUAGCGAGCAAUGCUCUGUUGCGGUUCUCAUCUCUCUGCCGAGUAGGUCGGUGGCCCCUCCGACCCGUCUUGAAACACGGACCAAGGAGUCUAACAUGUAUGCGAGCCAUUGAGUUGACUAAACUUAGAGGCGCAGUGAAAGCAAAGAGUAGCUUGUCUGCUCGAGGGACGAUCCGCAAGGCGCAGUCCCGCGACUUCCAAUCGACCUCGCAUCGUUGGGAGUACGCAGAGCAUAAAUGUUGGGACCCGAAAGAUGGUGAACUAUGCGUGA
rnacentral:rRNA from 1 species